UGCAGCCCAGUCAAAUUCGGUCCCUGUCCCUCAGUGUCGGGGACCGGCCACCGGCUGCCACAGCAAGCUCCGUGCUCCGCGUGUCCCUGUCCCUGCCGUGGGACCUGGGCAGGCGGAUCCCCUCGGACACUGCCACCC